GGUCCUCCUCCUCCUCCUUUAUAGAUUCAUCAAUGGAUUCAUUUAUCAAUUGAUUAUUAUUUUUAAAGCUUCUGUUCAUUGUUUAACUCUAAUAGACAUAAAGAAGCAGACACACACACACUUACACAUUAAACAAGACUUGAAGCAGGAUAUUAAAGAGGAAAUGGGCCAAAGUUCUUCCGCUGUGUGUUUGUACCCUGCAGUGAAUCAGUCAACAGAAGCUAACAGCUCUGUGGUCGUCCAGUUUCCUGUUUCUGCUCAACCUGCACAUGUUUCACUGCAGAGAUAUUAUUAGACUAAAGACAGAAAACAUCGAGUUUAGAACUUUACACAUUCAUGUCUGUUAUGUGACACAUUUAAACCAGGACUGAUUGUGUUUGUGUUACACACUGACAUGUUUGUCCUGUGGUGAACACAUCGACUUGUUUUGAUCUGCGGUCAUUCAAUUUUCCGAUUCAGAUAAAACCUCUUCACAUGUGUCAGGUCUCUUUUUAUCUUCCACAGCAGCAGAAAAAAACUGUAACAUGGAAAUUCUGCUUUAAAACAUGUAGCUGUGAACUUUGUUGUGUUGUUAGUGGACAUACAGUCGUACAAACUGUUGGAUUCUCUGUUGUGGUUCAUGGCAGCAGUUUGGUCACAUGAUCCACCACAGCUGGUGGUGAUCAUACGUACGCCAUCGAGGGUUCAAGCCAAUAAACAGACAAACUGUCUUUAAAAACAGAAGUGACAAAGUGCUCUCCAGGAAAAAAUGUUUUAAAGGCUGAGAGCCCUCAACAGCUUCCCACCAGCAGGAGCAAUCAGCUGGAAAACACUAAACCAACACACACACCUGAAAUCAGACAUGUGACCUCUGGUCGAACAGGAGAAACAUUUACCUCUGUGUGUUUUUACCCAGAGUUCAGUCUGUCAGGCAGAGCUUCCUACCACCUGUUAAACACCAGAGAUCCUCAGACUGACCGUUAUUAAAGAUGAUAAUUGUGCAGUUUAUUUUAAAUGUUAUUGUAAAAACCACAGCAGCAGCUUCUUCCUGUUGAUUCCAGUCUAAGCUGUGACUGAAGCUGGUGUGGUCUGUGAACACAGCGUGAUCUGAUGAUAAGAGAGUGAUCCAGCUGCAGUCUACUCAGCAGUGACAAGAGAAGACGUCAGUUAUGGACAAAUCAACAUCAAAGACAAAAAACCAAAGAUGAAAGCGUGUCCACCAGAACCAGAGGUGGUCUACUC